CCCUCCUAGCUUAGUGUCGCUGUUGGCACGUAGUGCGAAAGGCACAUGUUGUAUCUACCUAUUCAUAGCUAUGGUCACCCCCAACGUGCGUGUUUUGGGCGGAAUAUUUAUAAGGAGCUGCAGUACACCAAGGAAGCAUUUCACCUGCACACUCUGUUAGAAACCCCACAUUGUUUAGCUAUUGUAGUCUAAUGACUAUGGUGUGAGUGGUCUUUGAACGUACCUAGUGCCAAGCGCAAGUGAAGUACGAAGUACCUGUAUUCCCACACGUAUGUUGUUGUGUGUAGAAGCCAUAGGUCAACAGGGUCGCAAGAAAUGUGCUGAGAGAAAAAGAUGCAAAUUAACUGCCAAGGAUUUGAGAAGAAUCAAGGGUGAAACCAGCAGGAACCCAUUAUUUUUAAGUUCUGUCAUAUUUCAGAACUGCAACCUACCUGGAAUACCUCGAAGUACAAGAUAUUCAGAGACAUCACCAAGGUUUUAUGGACUGAUGAAAUGAAAGUGACUCUUGACGGACCAGCUGGGUGGGCCCGUGGCUGGAUCACUAAUGGACACAGAGCUCCACUUCGACUCAGAUGCCAGCAAAGUGGAGCGGGGAUACUGACGAAUGGCCACACUACAAGUAGGACACCGAUCAGACCCCGCCCGGUCAUCGCGUGCUGUCGCCAAGAGCACAGUCUGACGGCACACGUCUUCGGGGAGGCGGGACAAGAAGUAAGAGUCCAGGCAGCAGCACCGCAGGACCAAAGCGCAGGAACCGUGGGGUUAACCUGAGCUUGGCUCCACAGGAAGAACGAGUGCAUGGUGCAGCCAGGCUGUGUCGUGGUCGUGAGCUGUCCUAUAGAUGCCAGAUCGGCAGUCGUUGAUUACGUCAUAUACACGGGGAACAACACUAGAUCGGGGACUCAACUCAAUAAUAGGCCACGACAGGGGGUGGGGGUGGAGUGGUUCAGGUCAGGGAUGGCAUUUACUCGAUUAUACAAUGGGAUAAUAAGAUAGGAUUAUCGAUUCUAAAAAGAGUUGAUAGUGACAGCCCUCCCUAAAUGUGUUUAAAGCAUGUAACAAAACAACAAGAGUUUGUAACCGCUUUAUUUUUACUCCACUUCCACAAAGUCACAGACAGAGACGUACUAAAAAGUCCUCUCCUUCCACUUUACACCAUCCAAACCGCCAUUAAAGGCCUCCCUGGAGGGAUCAUUAAGGAGAUGGAUGUCAGACAGCAACGAAACAUGCAUAGACUUGUUUCACCUUUUCAAACACUGUUUAAAAGGACCAAUUGACCCGGAUAUUGAGGGGCUACAAUGGGGAACUUACAACAGACUCCAAUGUGAUGAGUGAGCGAUACCAUCCAGAUGAAUCCUUGAGUUAUUUGGUAGCAUCACAAUGACAACCUGUACUUGGAAUUGAACCUUCACAAAUAACCACACUUAUACCAAUCUACACUUUAAGUACACUUGCACAAAAGGGAUGUAUAAAAAAUGUCUUUCAUUUUUCCACUUCAAAGUAAUAAGUACUGCUGAAAUGACGAAAACCACACGUCAUGCGAACAUGCAUCCCUUGUAUUUUACUUCUCAACGUGUGGCUGUUAGCCAUUGUCAGGAAUGGAAAUGUUAUUCAAGAGGAGAUUGAGGCCAGCAAGAAAAGGGGCCUCUGCAGCAGAGUGGAGCCUGCGGAGCACAAUACUGCAGUGUCUAGAAUAGCAGAAUGUCAACCAGCAAAAGACUUGAGUGGUAGAGAAUGAUCAACGGGCUAUGACGGAAGUCUUCGUUGAGACAGCACCUGCUUAUAAAGCCUAAAUGAUGUCACCGUGUUGGAGUACAGUCUAAACAUUAAUUCCUGGAAAGAGGAACUCCUCCAGCAGGCAACGACGUCAGCUUCUUACGCUUUUCAUGCACUGUAUGUGUAUGUGAUGUUCUUUUACCUGUACUUUAUAGUCUCUUCAGAAUGAUGGACUAUCAAUAGUACAUCUUAUCCAGCUUUACCCCAGCAGAAGGAAUGUGCUCUUCCUCAGGCAUGGCUACAGCAGACAACACAUUUAACAAAUGGAAUAUCUUUUAAUUAUCAUUUCAGAUACCUCAGAGUCCUUGUAUUCCACCUAAUUAGAUGGUGCAGGUGUACCUAAUGAAUUGCCCAGUGCUCCAUCAGAAGUGGAUGAGUUAUUCAUGUUUGGCAUAAUCUAUCUCUUGGAGGCAUCGCCAAUCCAUUCUGACUCCAAACAGGCUUGGCCCAAUUGCUGCCUCCAUUACAGCCUGCCAAUGGAUUACUUUCCUCCUCUCUCCAUGCCACCUUGUAGUUAUUGACCAUGUGCCACCACACAACAUGUACUCACACAAUCUCUCGAGAAAUGGAACAGAAGUGGAUGGAGCUGGUACACUUUCUAUUGAGCUGAUAGACUUUCUAUUGACUGUAAACCCCCACUAUUUGUGAAGGUUAGGGACCAAGCUGUCAAACAGUGAAAAAUUUGACAUCCCCCCCCAAAAUGUUUAUAAUCGUCUAUUAAUAGUUAAAGCAUAAAUAUGGUAGAAAUUAUGAUCCCAAAACACUCAUUUCAAACUAAUCUUACAAAAUUACCCUUAAAAUGACAUGGUCUAGUGGUCUAGCAACCCCGGCUAAACUUAGCUCCUCCCCAACAUACAAAGAUCUUCAAGAUGUCUCACUUCAACAUACUGUACUUCCUUGACACCAGUUAAUACUUUUCUAUAAGUCAAGGCUUUGGAGGCAUCUUGUUGCAUCUUAGGGUGGUUUCAGAAAGAGCACAAAAAAUGUUUUUCAGUAAAUUACUGAGAAUAGGUUCCACCCCAAAAACCCAAAUAGGUGAACUGUAUAUGUUCACUGGCCGGCAAUGUAUGAUUUGAUUAAGGAGCCCUUAAACUAGGUUACCCUUCAUCUUUCCAAAUUGUGUCUCAGUGGAUGGUUGGAGACAGGGAAAUAUUUUGGGAACGCAGAUUCUUUUUUAAUCAGCCAACACCCUUCACUUUCCCUAGAGAUAAUUAGUGAUAAUAAGAUUGUCCCAAAAUGCCAGCUGUGAGUUUGGAAUUGUUAGUCCUAACGGGAAUAUUAUCACCACUGCCAAUGUCCUUAUUGUGCAGGAUGACCUACUUUUUUUGUGAUAAAUAACCCUUUGCACAAUCCCUCUGGAUGCUGUCAAGCUGCUGCAACCAGAAUAUCUGUAUUAGGCUUCAUUUACACUGUAGAUAUGCCUAAUUCCAAUUUCGUGCCUAUAUCAGACUGUCUAUUUACAGCUACUCUCAGGUGACCUAUAUCCAAUAUCACUGGGCUUGCAUUGACCGAGCACCUGAAACCACACACACACAUUUGUGGCAGCAGGCCAAUAGAGGCUGUUACGGCACCGCACCACCACUCACCACAAAAAAACUGAAAUGAUAAAAUUAAAAUACUUGAAAAUAUAUCUCUAUCUGUGUUUAGAUGAGCAGGAUAGACAGUUGUUUCGUUCAUCUUUGUUGUCUGAUUUGUGAUGUGUUUCCGCAAAAAUCUGUACCCAUAGAGUACAGUCCAUCCUUUGGCCACUGUAGUCUUUGACCAGGCCUCACAACCUUUAUGAAGUCGAAAUAAAAUGUAGUGUAUGCAAUGCUUUUA